GAUGAACGCUGGCGGCGUGCCUAACACAUGCAAGUCGAACGAAGCACUUUAUUUGAUUUCCUCCGGGACUGAUCAUUUUGCGACUGAGUGGCGGAUGGGUGAGUAACUCGUGGUUAGCCUGCCUUGUACAGGGGGAUAACAGUUUGAAACGGCUGCUAAUACCGCAUAAGCGCACAGCAUCCCAUGAUGCAUUGUGAAAAACUCCGGUGGUAUAAGAUGUACCGGCGUGGGAUUAGCUAGUCCGUGAGGUAACGGCCCACGAAGGGGACGAUCCAUAGCCGAGAUGUGAGGGUGACCGGACACAUUGAGGCUGGGACACGGCGGGAACUCUUGCGGAAGGGAGGAGAGGGGAAUAUUGCACAAUGGGGGAAAGGAUGAUGGAGCGACGCCGGGUAAGCGAAGUAGUAUUUAAGUAUGUAAAGCACUAUCAGAAGGGAAGAUAAUGACGGUACCUAAAUAAGAAGCACCGGCUAAAUACGUG
rnacentral:rRNA from 1 species